rnacentral:rRNA from 1 species
UACGUAGGGUGCAAGCGUUAAUCGGAAUUACUGGGCGUAAAGCGUGCGCAGGCGGUUUUGUAAGCCAGAUGUGAAAUCCCCGGGCUCAACCUGGGAACUGCAUUUGGGACUGCAAGGCUGGAGUACGGCAGAGGGAGGUGGAAUUCCACGUGUAGCAGUGAAAUGCGUAGAGAUGUGGAGGAAUACCGAUGGCGAAGGCAGCCCCCUGGGCCAAUACUGACGCUCAUGCACGAAAGCGUGGGGAGCAAACAGG